rnacentral:rRNA from 1 species
CGGACGGGUGAGUAAUGUAUGGGGAUCUGCCUGAUGGCGGGGGGUAACUACUGGAAACGGUAGCUAAUACCGCAUAAUGUCUGCGGACCAAAGCGGGGGACCUCCGGGCCUCGCGCCAUCAGAUGAACCCAUAUGGGAUUAGCUUGUAGGUAAGGUAACGGCUUACCUAGGCGACGAUCCCUAGCUGGUCUGAGAGGAUGACCAGCCACACUGGAACUGAGACACGGUCCAG